ensembl:snRNA U6 U6 spliceosomal RNA
GUGCUCGCUUUGGCAGUUCAUGUACUAAAUCAGAACGACACAGAGAAGAUCAGCAGGGCCCCUGUGCCUGGAUGACGUGAAAAUCAUCUAUCUGACAAGGGGCUGAUAUCCCCAAUAUAU